rnacentral:rRNA from 1 species
GUGUCAGCAGCCGCGGUAAUACGAAGGGAGCUAGCGUUGUUCGGAAUUACUGGGCGUAAAGGGCGCGUAGGCGGCCGAGUUAGUCAGAUGUGAAAGCCCCGGGCUUAACCUGGGAACUGCAUUUGAUACUGCUUGGCUAGAGGAUGAGAGAGGAAAGUGGAAUUACGAGUGUAGAGGUGAAAUUCGUAGAUAUUCGUAAGAACACCAGUGGCGAAGGCGGCUUUCUGGCUCAUUACUGACGCUAAGGCGCGAAAGCGUGGGGAGCAAACAGGAUUAGAUACCCUGGUAGUCCACGCUGUAAACGAUGAGUGCUAGAUGUUGGGUGGUUUACUGCUCAGUGUCGCAGCUAACGCAUUAAGCACUCCGCCUGGGGAGUACGGUCGCAAGAUUAAA